rnacentral:lncRNA from 1 species
UGAGACAAAAAAAANCCGAGCAACGAGUUCUCGAAUUUAACUUCGCUUGAUCCAUCAACCGUGUAAAUAUCUUUACUACUAAUAUGCAGCAAUCACGUAGGUAGCACAUCUAUCUUUUCGAGUAAAAUAAAAAAGAAGUGAUCUUGCAGAAGAAUGUGAAACUCGAAUAUUUAGCAUUAUCCCAAACCACAAUCCCAACACCAAAUAAGUAAAGAAAUCAAUAGACAAAGACACACUUGCACACGGAUGAGUACACCCCAGAAAAUAAAUAUAUUCCUACGAUCAAGAUUGGAUGAGCAUGACAGUGCCGUCACUGUUCAACCACUUGUCAAAAUCAUGCUCUAAACAAUUGAAGAAAGAUAAUAUUUUUUUUUAAAAAGAAUUCAAGUUUCAGUUUAUCAAAAGUUCUAGAAAGAAGACUAUUUGCUAAUCAAUUCCGUGAAAAAAAUAAAAAUAAAAUAAAAUUUGAAGAAGAAGAAGAAGAGAAAUUAAAAAGAGUAAUUUAAAAAUUCAAGAGCUCACCUUACAAGCACGUGGCAAAAUCGUUGAAGUCCUGGAAUACGGAAAAAACCCAACCCAUGAGUGGCCUAUCCCCUGGCGUGAACUAACAUCGUAGUUCCAUAUAAAUGAGGAAAGCAAGAGACUUUUGGCUUCUCCAAGCGUGCUUUUUUAGUGGGGUGUAUGCGAUCGUGAGUGGGCGUAGUGACAGAGAAGAGAGUGAACUCACAGAGUUGUCUCCAAUCCCUUUCCUCCAAUUGUUUGCAGUGCUCCAAUGAGCAAAUUGCCACUUUAUUAAUCAACAACGCUUUUGCUUGGAG